GCACUGCUCUCACUUCACUCUUCCUCACUCGAUGUUCCCUUCAAGCUUCCAGUGCGACUGACUGACUGUUUCUUUCCUAUAGCUACGAGAUGAGAGGAUAAGCGUGUGUGCGUCGUUUGUUCCUUCACUUCGUCCGCUUGCUCAUGCACAGUGUGCGAAAAUGAACGAGGAAAAUGUUCCUCCACUUCGCGUCGCGACGCCACCCACCCACUCUCUGACACUCACUCACUAGUCGUCGUUCGAUUCACACACACGCGAUGAUGCCUUCCUCCGCUCGCCUUCUCUAUUCCCUCCGUGUAGGCAGGCAGGCAAAUACUAUUGCGCGAUUAGGGCACUUUUUUUCUUCGCUUUUCAGCUCGCAGGAAAACGGGUCACAAUUUUCUUCCACCUUUUUGUGUGUCAACCUUUCGUUGCACGAAAAAAUGCAAUAAAUUCCAAUCAACUGCUGCUGCUGAUUCUGAACUUCCGCGCGAUGGCACUUAAUGAAGGGUUGGACUUUGGAAUCCUUGUCCACCCCCACAGUUCUUCGCACAGAAUCCAAUCCGAUUUUCUUCGGGGAAAAAAAGGACACUGCGGGUAUUUUCUGCUGCUCCUUUCGUCCUAA